UCUGCACGGCCCGAUGCACGCUGCUAGUAAAAACUUUAUGACAUGGGACGGAAUAGAAAAGAUUCAGAAGGGCUACCAAUAGAGAAUUAUAGGAAACAGAUUGGUAAACAAGAUUACAAGAAGUCAAAGAAAGAAUU